rnacentral:rRNA from 1 species
GAUGAACGCUGGCGGCGUGCCUAAUACAUGCAAGUCGAGCGAGCGGACGAGAAGCUUGCUUCUCUGAUGUUAGCGGCGGACGGGUGAGUAACACGUGGAUAACCUACCUAUAAGACUGGGAUAACUUCGGGAAACCGGAGCUAAUACCGGAUAAUAUUUUGAACCGCAUGGUUCAAAAGUGAAAGACGGUCUUGCUGUCACUUAUAGAUGGAUCCGCGCUGCAUUAGCUAGUUGGUAAGGUAACGGCUUACCAAGGCAACGAUGCAUAGCCGAUCUGAGAGGGUGAUCGGCCACACUGGAACUGAGACACGGUCCAGACUCCUAUGGGAGGCAGCAGUAGGGAAUCUUCCGCAAUGGGCGAAAGCCUGACGGAGCAACGCCGCGUGAGUGAUGAAGGUCUUCGGAUCGUAAAACUCUGUUAUUAGGGAAGAACAUAUGUGUAAGUAACUGUGCACAUCUUGACGGUACCUAAUCAGAAAGCCACGGCUAACUACGUG